CACGGGGGGAGCAAGCGUUGUUCGGAAUCACUGGGCGUAAAGGGCGUGUAGGCGGUCAGAUAAGUGGGGUGUGAAAGCCCCCGGCUCACCCGGGGAUCUGCAUUCCAAACUGUCUGGCUUGAGUACGGGAGAGGAUGAGGGAAUUCCUGGUGUAGCGGUGAAAUGCGUAGAUAUCAGGAGGAACACCAGUGGCGAAGGCGGGCACCUGGGCUAACACUGACGCUGGAUGCGCGAAAGCUAGGGGAGCAAACAGG
rnacentral:rRNA from 1 species